GGUCAAUCCAACAACCGGGUAAUCUAUAGGUAGGAUUAAACACCCUGAUUCUUGACUGCAGGCUGUUAAGAAUUUAGUCGAAUGAUCACAAGUGGAUGCUGUUGCUCUUGUUGGGCGCUUCCCAGAUGAUGAAGCGGAUGACCUCGAUGACUAUCGACUUGGAAUUGGAAUAGAUAUAUUGGCAGGAGUGAAGGCAGUAAUAAGUCAUCUUGUGGUGAAGGAAUUUCAGAUAACUUGUGCACAUGCGCCUGCACUUUCUCCCCUCCCCUUGACCACAUCUCUUAGCCCAAAAUCAGCUACUGAGGAGGGCUAAGUGAUGCACUCCAGUACUAGGUUAAAAACCCUGAGUCCUUCAAGAAGGGUUGUAUCUUGGCAAGUGAUGUUAACAGCAUUAUUCUUCCGAUAGAUGCUUGUAAAUGGUGCUCUUGCUUUUGCAAGAAACAAGUGAAAUAAGGUACAAAUUUGAAGGCAAACUAUGUUUUUCACUUUCUGGUUAAAAAUGGCUGGCAAAUUCAUUAAAAGGAAAACAUGCUUACUAGCAUUUUGGCUUCAUACUUUCUUGGUCCACCAAAACAUUUCACUUAACCAUGAGUAAUUUUAAUUAGCUGCAACUCAAUAUAAUGCCAGUCUUAACUACUCCCCUGCCCCGCUUUCCAGACUUUAAUCUGUGUGGAGGAAAAUGUAACAGUUCUGAACGACACUGCAGAUAAAGUUGGGAUCAAAGGGGUAUGCAUCUAAUUGUUGGCUUAAUC